rnacentral:tmRNA from 1 species
GGGGGCGUAAAUGGUUUCGACGGGGAUAUGGAAGUAAGAUAAGCGAGUCGUUGGGCUGAGCAACGUUAAAAGCGGCAAAAAAAAUAAACGCAAACGAAAAUAAUUUAGCUUACGCAGCUUAAGAGCUGCAGCUUGUUCCGCUUAACCGGCCUGUAGGUUAAACCGGGGCAUCAUUUAAAUCAGGGAACUGCUUGAGGGAUUCUCCGACCUUAAGCGGACCAAUCGGAGAUAGCUGAUACUGCAGCUUGGACAUAGGCGGCGGUAAAGGCGAAAGAUAAAUUAUGUCCUGCACUCGGAGAAAGUCUUUCGGAAAUGUUUUCGGACGUGGGUUCGACUCCCACC